ensembl:snoRNA
AGUUGUGGUGGUUUUCUUUCUGGCACAUUUGUUAAGUUUUCAAAUGGGCCUGAUUCUGCCACAUAUAAUAUAUAGGAGCUGACAAAGGCUUCAAGACAAAGAGAUCUCUUGCUAGCCUUCCUGCACCAGAGUUUGGCUCCCAUAUGU